ACCCUAGGCUCGAAAUGCAGAUGACCAUCGGCGAAAGCCGACUCCCCGCAAGGGCAACUUGUAUAGGUGCUGCAUGGACUGUCGUCAGCUCGUGUCGUGAGAUGUUGGGUUAAGUCCCGCAACGAGCGCAACCCUUGUUUCCUGUUGCCAUCACGUAAUGGUGGGCACUCUGGAGAGACUGCCGGUGACAAACCGGAGGAAGGUGGGGAUGACGUCAAGUCAGCAUGGCCUUUAUGUCUGGGGCUACACACGUGCUACAAUGGCCGAUACAAAGCGUUGCAAACUCGCGAGGGUGAGCUAAUCGCAUAAAGUCGGUCUCAGUUCGGAUUGCAGGCUGCAACUCGCCUGCAUGAAGUUGGAAUCGCUAGUAAUCGCGGAUCAGCAUGCCGCGGUGAAUACGUUCCCGGGCCUU
rnacentral:rRNA from 1 species